AGGCUUUUGUAGAUAAAGGACAAGUUGAAACUAAGAUGUUGAGUGCUCUACUGUCCGGUGUUAAUCGAGCAUUUCAUUAUGUUCAAGGUGAUCUGCUCCUUUGUUGUUUCUUUUCGAGACUUUUGUACAGCCUUUGUAUUUGAAAAAUUGUCCAUCUCAAGCCUUUUAAUUUGUACAGAUACCUACAUUAAUUUUGACUGUUUUAGACGAUGAAGACCAAUUUGGUGAGCAAGUCAACAUGUUAUUUCGAGUUGUACAUAUCACUCCGUUUAAUACAAGCAUACAGG